CAGCAGCCGCGGUAAUACGAAGGGGGCUAGCGUUGUUCGGAAUUACUGGGCGUAAAGCGCACGUAGGCGGAUAUUUAAGUCAGGGGUGAAAUCCCGCAGCUCAACUGCGGAACUGCCUUUGAUACUGGGUAUCUUGAGUAUGGAAGAGGUAAGUGGAAUUCCGAGUGUAGAGGUGAAAUUCGUAGAUAUUCGGAGGAACACCAGUGGCGAAGGCGGCUUACUGGUCCAUUACUGACGCUGAGGUGCGAAAGCGUGGGGAGCAAACAGGAUUAGAUACCCGAGUAGUCCCUGUCUCUUAUAC
rnacentral:rRNA from 1 species